AGAGUUUGAUCCUGGCUCAGAUUGAACGCUGGCUGCAUGCCUAACACAUGCAAGUCGAACGGAAACGAUGGAAGCUUGCUUCCAGGCGUCGAGUGGCGGACGGGUGAGUAACGCGUAGGAAUCUGCCUAGUAGUUGGGGACAACCUGGUGAAAACCAGGCUAAUACCGAAUAAGCCCUACGGGGGAAAGUGGAGGAUCUUCGGACUUCACGCUAUUAGAUGAGCCUGCGUCGGAUUAGCUUGUUGGUGAGGUAAAAGCUCACCAAGGCGACGAUCCGUAGCUGGUCUGAGAGGACGAUCAGCCACACUGGGACUGAGACACGGCCCAGACUCCUACGGGAGGCAGCAGUGGGGAAUAUUGGACAAUGGGGGCAACCCUGAUCCAGCAAUGCAGCGUGUGUGAAGAAGGCCUGCGGGUUGUAAAGCACUUUCAGUAGGGAGGAAAAGUUCAAGGUUAAUACCCUUGGACCCUGACGUUACCUACAGAAGAAGCACCGGCUAACUCUGUGCCAGCAGCCGCGGUAAUACAGAGGGUGCAAGCGUUAAUCGGAAUUACUGGGCGUAAAGCGCGCGUAGGCGGCUUGAUAAGUCGGAUGUGAAAGCCCCGGGCUCAACCUGGGAAUUGCAUUCGAUACUGUCAAGCUAGAGUAUGGUAGAGGUAAGUGGAAUUCCAGGUGUAGC
rnacentral:rRNA from 1 species